GUUGGUGCUUCCCACCUUCAUCUCCGUCAGCUGUCCUUGUCAACACAGUCAAUACAUAGUACUGCUUCCCAUCAACCACAGGUGUUGCAGUCUCUAAGAUGUUAGCUGUGGCCACAGCAUUUGGAUCAAAACCACCCUGCAACAGUUCAUCUUCAAACUCAGUUAGGAUAUCCUAUGCUAUUUAUUCACUGCAUUUCUUUUUCAUCAUCACUCACUUACCUCAGCUUGAGUUUCACCAGAGAAGGCCUGUUUUCCUAGUAAAUAAUCCACCUGCAGUAAGGAAAAAAACCAACUUUCAAUGCCAUUUCUAAUUUUGAAUAUAUACACUACAAAAGUUAGACUACCCUUUUAUUCUAUUUAAGAAAAAGCUAGAAAAGUUAGAAUUAGCAAGGGAGAAACAACUUUUUAUCACUAAAUUUGAUCACUGAUUCAUUGAUUUAGUUAGAACAUGAUACAUAAAAGUGCAUAAACGGGGCUAUAAGUGUUCCUCAUAGUAAGAAAACAGGUAGUUUAAAAAACAGAUAUACCUUUGAGAGGAAUUCUUCGGGUGAACCAUAGUCAGUGAUGGACUUCUUAUCAGUUGGAGUGACUGUGACAACGACAUUGCUGGUUGUAUCAAAGUUAUCCUCGUAUCUAAGAACCUGGCCUGUGUACUCAACCUCUUUGCUUGGGUUCCACUUUGA
rnacentral:lncRNA from 1 species